CUCACAUUUUGGGUCAAUUUCUCUCUACAUCUCUAGAAAUCAACGACCAAAUCGUAUCCAAAAUUAAAUCUACAUGUAGGGCUCAAUUCCUGCUUUUAAUAGAUUACUAAUACACCUCUGCCACCACCAUCUACAAACACUCAACACUUCAAUUUCUCUCCAAUCAAGAUUCUUCAUCUUCCUCACAAAGCCAAUGUAGUCCUCGAACCCAAUUAGGUCAAGUAGAGAACUUGAAAACAUCUCCUCCCUUUUAAAUAUAUUAUGGACCAUUUUGCCCUUGGUGUGGUUUUGGUGUUUUUCUCCAAUUUUGGUAUUGAUAUGGUUUUAACUAAAGACUCAGAGUUACUCUACAUAUUUGUUAAGAGAAAAGUUCCUCCCUUUGCGAGAGAAGACCGUUUGAUCCAAUACUUGACCAUAUUGCCCCUGGUGUUGCUUUGUAGCUUUGGUGAAAUUAAUCAGGUGCUUCCCAUGUUUACAAAGCAAGACUUCACAAGAACCUUACAUACUUGCUGUGCAAAGAUAUCAAGGUUUAUUGAUUUUCCUGGUGAUGCUUGGAUUCAACACUUUAGUUCUUAUCUCAUGUUUGUUGAUCAGUGAGCAAACACUGUUUUUUUUUUUUUUUUUUUUUUUUUUUUUUGUACUUUGUGCUUUGGUUUGUUGAUAUUAGUUGUUACUUUUUUCCCUUUUAUGAUUAUCUGUACCAAUUCUAUGUAUUGUUCCAUCCACCAGCUGGUCAAUUAAUUUUAUUUUUAAUAUAUUUCCUUUCAAAAAAGAUGUAGUAGUGGCUUUGAAAUCCUUUAUGCCCUUGAAAAGAGCAGGGCAUAUAAACUUCGUA